GACGAACGCUGGCGGCGCGCCUAACACAUGCAAGUCGAACGAGCGAGAGAGAGCUUGCUUUCUCGAGCGAGUGGCGAACGGGUGAGUAACGCGUGAGGAACCUGCCUCAAAGAGGGGGACAACAGUUGGAAACGACUGCUAAUACCGCAUAAGCCCACGGGUCGGCAUCGACCAGAGGGAAAAGGAGCAAUCCGCUUUGAGAUGGCCUCGCGUCCGAUUAGCUAGUUGGUGAGGUAAUGGCCCACCAAGGCGACGAUCGGUAGCCGGACUGAGAGGUUGAACGGCCACAUUGGGACUGAGACACGGCCCAGACUCCUACGGGAGGCAGCAGUGGGGAAUAUUGCACAAUGGGGGAAACCCUGAUGCAGCGACGCCGCGUGGAGGAAGAAGGUCUUCGGAUUGUAAACUCCUGUUGUUGGGGAAGAUAAUGACGGUACCCAACAAGGAAGUGACGGCUAACUACGUGCCAGCAGCCGCGGUAAAACGUAGGUCACAAGCGUUGUCCGGAAUUACUGGGUGUAAAGGGAGCGCAGGCGGGAAGACAAGUUGGAAGUGAAAUCUAUGGGCUCAACCCAUAAACUGCUUUCAAAACUGUUUUUCUUGAGUAGUGCAGAGGUAGGCGGAAUUCCCGGUGUAGCGGUGGAAUGCGUAGAUAUCGGGAGGAACACCAGUGGCGAAGGCGGCCUACUGGGCACCAACUGACGCUGAGGCUCGAAAGUGUGGGUAGCAAACAGGAUUAGAUACCCUGGUAGUCCACACCGUAAACGAUGAUUACUAGGUGUUGGAGGAUUGACCCCUUCAGUGCCGCAGUUAACACAAUAAGUAAUCCACCUGGGGAGUACGACCGCAAGGUUGAAACUCAAAGGAAUUGACGGGGGCCCGCACAAGCAGUGGAGUAUGUGGUUUAAUUCGACGCAACGCGAAGAACCUUACCAAGUCCUGACAUCCCUUGACAGGCAUAGAAAUAUGUAUUCUCUUCGGAGCAAGGAGACAGGUGGUGCAUGGUUGUCGUCAGCUCGUGUCGUGAGAUGUUGGGUUAAGUCCCGCAACGAGCGCAACCCUUAUGGUCAGUUACUACGCAAGAGGACUCUGGCCAGACUGCCGUUGACAAAACGGAGGAAGGUGGGGAUGACGUCAAAUCAUCAUGCCCUUUAUGACUUGGGCUACACACGUACUACAAUGGCGUUAAACAAAGAGAAGCAAGACCGCGAGGUGGAGCAAAACUCAGAAACAACGUCCCAGUUCGGACUGCAGGCUGCAACUCGCCUGCACGAAGUCGGAAUUGCUAGUAAUCGUGGAUCAGCAUGCCACGGUGAAUACGUUCCCGGGCCU
rnacentral:rRNA from 1 species